CAGCCCUUUAGUGUCUGUCUCAGUCAGUCAUUGUUUUGUGUUUGCACGGCCGGAUGUAGGUUCCUAUGUCAUUGUUAUAUUAGAGUUGUCCCAUGUUCGGUCUAGCUGUCUGGCACUAUCUGACACUGACGUUUGGAAAACUGAAGCUGAUUUCCUGAUAACUAGCUCACGAUUGCAGGAAAUCGAGACACGACUCCAGUUUCGAACACACUACUCCAAUGGGUGACUUACUGCUCUUGGGCAGCAGAGCUGUCACAGAAGCUCAACAACACUUCAACUGCCUGCUGAGACUCAGCCAUGAUCCUGUGACGGUGCCUUUAUCUCACCGCUGCUGGCUAGUCUCCCAACCAUCCCUCAGCUGUGGACCUCCCGGAGCUCCCUCACCAAGGCCUAAACCCUCACUGCAAGUUUGCUAGUCCACGAUUGCUGCAACUUUUCUUCCCAUUAUUUGCACAAUAAAUUAAUACUGUGUUUUGCACCCUAACCCACAGCUCUGUGCUGUCAUUCCGUGUUCACCAUACUAAAGUGUUCUCUAGGACAUUUUUACACUAAGGCUAAUAAAACAUUCUUGAAAAUGCAGAGCUGUAAUGGAAAAUCUGAACCCUUGCUCUACUAAACCCCACACCUUACACUAAUCACCCCAUAAUUUCGGCAGCUAAAAUAAUAAUAAUUAUGUAUAAGAAAUCAUCAAGAAGUGUCAGUUCAGCCGGGUGUGAAAAACAUCUCACAUUGAAAUCUUACAAAAUGUAUAUUAGACUUGUGAUCAUAAAAUAAUUAAUUUGUUUAUGCUGAUUUAAAAUAGCUGAUUAUUCCAUUUCCAUUUCACGGGUGUAAUGUAGCCAGUGUACUAGUAUAAAGAUUUCAAAUGAUUCCAUACACUAGCCUCUAUUUAUGGUCUUAUUACAUUGGAUAAAGAAAUAAUUACAUUA